rnacentral:rRNA from 1 species
GAUCCUGGCUCAGGACGAACGCUGGCGGCGUGCUUAACACAUGCAAGUCGAACGGAGUGCUCGUGACAGAGGUUUCGGCCAAUGGAUUGAGUUACUUAGUGGCGGACUGGUGAGUAACGCGUGAGGAACCUGCCUUUCGAGAGGGGGACAACAGUUGGAAACGACUGCUAAUACCGCAUGACACAUCGGAGGGGCAUCCAUUUGAUGUCAAAGAUUUUAUCGCUGAAAGAUGG